rnacentral:misc_RNA from 1 species
CAGAUUUAAAUCUAUCACAGCCACAGAUACCCUGGCAUUGUAAUUGCGUCUUGACAACAUCAAGGGGCGUUGUAACUACUGCCGCUAAUGCUCCAGCUGCUGCCCCAGCAGUAGCAUGAACUAUUAUACUUUCAUCACUUGCACUAUCUGGCGAAACACCGGACAGCCCCAGUUUCGCUGCCUCAUACGUAGCAAAAUGCACAGCUGUAUAUGGGGCAUUCAUCAAG